GACGAACGCUGGCGGCGUGCUUAACACAUGCAAGUCGAGCGGUAAGGCCCUUUCGGGGGUACACGAGCGGCGAACGGGUGAGUAACACGUGGGUGACCUGCCCUUAGCUCUGGGAUAAGCCUGGGAAACUGGGUCUAAUACCGGAUAUGACUCCAUGACGCAUGUUGUGGGGUGGAAAGCCUUGUGCGGCUAGGGAUGGGCCCGCGGCCUAUCAGCUUGUUGGUGGGGUGAUGGCCUACCAAGGCGACGACGGGUAGCCGGCCUGAGAGGGCGACCGGCCACACUGGGACUGAGACACGGCCCAGACUCCUACGGGAGGCAGCAGUGGGGAAUCUUGCGCAAUGGGCGAAAGCCUGACGCAGCGACGCCGCGUGAGGGAUGACGGCCUGGUGU
rnacentral:rRNA from 1 species